AGAAUGAACGCUGGCGGCGUGCUUAACACAUGCAAGUCGAGCGAGGCCUGGGGGGCAACUCCCAGAGUCGAGCGGCGGACGGGUGAGUAACACGUGGGUAACCUGCCCGGAAGUGGGGAAUACCUCGGGGAAACUCGAGCUAAUACCGCAUGACAUCUUUGGGACGAAAGUCCUGACGAUCAAAGCGGGGUCGCAAGAUCUCGCGCUACCGGAUGGGCCCGCGCCCGAUUAGCUAGUUGGUGAGGUAACGGCUCACCAAGGCUUCGAUCGGUAACCGGCCUGAGAGGGCUAGUCGUACGACGACCGAACUGAGACACGGUCGGACUCACGGGAGCAGCAGUGGGAAUCGUUGCGCGAAUGGGACGAAAGCCGUGACGCAGCAACGCGCGUGGAGAGUGAAGCCGUUCGGUGUAACGUCCUGUCGCGUGGAAGAAGUACGUGCGGUCGCUCG
rnacentral:rRNA from 1 species